rnacentral:lncRNA from 1 species
CUUUGCCACAAUCGCGAGCAGUGUUCUUCAGAGUGUCCAACAAUAGAUUUGUCAAAAGAAAUCCACCCAAGUGGUUAACAGCAAACUGUUGUUCAAUUCCGUCCUUCGACAGGGUGAAUGGAGGUGCCAUGAUCCCUGCAUUGUUACUUCACAAAGCCAAAAACCAAAACAAAAAACAAUUUCAGAUUCUAACCUUCAGAAAAAAAAUUGCAAAAAUAUAGAAGCAAUUUAUUGUUAAUGAAUUCGAGUUGAGAGUAGUUUCUUACACAAGUAUGUUCAGCGGAAGACCAGUGGCAAUGAAAGCAGCAGCAAACUUUCUAAUGGAGGCAAAUGUGUUGAGAUCAAUCUCCAUGACAUCAAUUUUGGCACCAGGGAUUUUCUUGCAUAUGUCCUCUUUAACUUUUUCACCGGCCUUACAGUUCCUCACUCCCAUGAUCACAUGAACACCGCGU